rnacentral:rRNA from 1 species
UCCAGACUCCUACGGGAGGCAGCAGUGGGGCCUUUUGGACAAUGGGCGCCCGCCUGAUCCAGCUCUUCCGCGUGUGGGCUGACGGCCCUCGGGUUGUAAACCACUUUAGUAGAGCACGAACAGGAGCUCUCGCAUAAAUAGCUCUGCUGACGGUACUCUAAGAAUAAGCACCGGCUAACUACGUGCCAGCAGCCGCGGUAAUACGUAGGAUCCGAGCGUUAUCCGGAUUUAUUGGGUUUAAAGGGAGCGGAGAUGGGUUGGUAAGUCAGUUGUGAAAGUUUGCGGCUCAACCGUAAAAUUGCAAUUGAUACUGGCAGCCUUGAGUACAGUUGAGGUAGGCGGAAUUCGUGGUGUAGCGGUGAAAUGCUUAGAUAUCAUGAAGAACUCCGAUCGCGAAGGCAAGUGUCCGGGGUGCAACUGACGCUGAGGCUCGAAAGGGCGGGUAUCAAACAGGAUUAGAUACCCGUGUA